rnacentral:rRNA from 1 species
UACGGGGGGGGCAAGCGUUGUUCGGAAUUACUGGGCGUAAAGGGUUUGUAGGUGGCUUGCUAAGUCAGACGUGAAAUCCCUCAGCUUAACUGGGGAACUGCGUCUGAUACUGGCGAGCUUGAGUGCAGGAGAGGAACGCGGAAUUCCAGGUGUAGCGGUGAAAUGCGUAGAUAUCUGGAGGAACACCGGUGGCGAAGGCGGCGUUCUGGACUGUAACUGACACUGAGAAACGAAAGCCAGGGUAGCAAACGGG